rnacentral:rRNA from 1 species
AUUGAACGCUGGCGGAAUGCUUUACACAUGCAAGUCGAACGGUAGAGGGGGCAACCCCUCGAGAGUGGCGAACGGGUGAGUAAUAUAUCGGAACGUGCCCAGUCGUGGGGGAUAACGUAGCGAAAGUUACGCUAAUACCGCAUACGAUCUAAGGAUGAAAGCGGGGGAUCGCAAGACCUCGCGCGAUUGGAGCGGCCGAUAUCAGAUUAGGUAGUUGGUGGGGUAAAGGCUCACCAAGCCAACGAUCUGUAGCUGGUCUGAGAGGACGACCAGCCACACUGGAACUGAGACACGGUCCAGACUCCUACGGGAGGCAGCAGUGGGGAAUUUUGGACAAUGGACGCAAGUCUGAUUCAGCCAUUCCGCGUGCAGGAUGAAGGCCCUCGGGUUGUAAACUGCUUUUGUACGGAGCGAAAAGGUCUCUCUUAAUACGGGGGACUCAUGACGGUACCGUAAGAAUAAGCACCGGCUAACUACGUGCCAGCCGCCGCAGUAA